CGGCCGCGGGGCUGCAGCUCCCGGCUCGCACUCCAUCAUCGACGGAUGACAGCGGGAACGGUGGGAGUUCAUUACAGGGACCAUGAAUUGUUGCAGAGGAAUCUGAAGAAACGUGCUGGAUGUCCCCGGAGAAGGAGCUGAACCAUUUGAGUGGGGGCUUCACUGACUCUCCCCACACACAGGGCACCGGGGGAGAGCAGCCACACGACCGGCAGGCGGGGGUUUUGCCCCUGGUGGGAGGGGAUGAGGACGGCACCAGUCCGGCCCUGAGACAACUCCCCAGACCAGCCCUGACUGGGACACUCUGCAGGAUGUCAAGCAGUGCCCCCAAAAGCUGUCAAGGCCGUCCCAGACCAGCGGGGCCUCAGGAGAUGGUGCAGAGUCCUGGACCAGACAAACGGCACUGGGAAAGCAGGAGCCCAAAGGAAGGCUGGAAUUCAGGGAAGAGCCACGUGCCAGGCUGUGACGAAGGCGACAGGAUGAAACACUAGGGGGGCAGGGGAGGCAUCCAAACUCUAUGUGCUGUCUUUGCACUACUCUGUAAAUCUAACAUUAUUCGGAAGUGAAAGUUAAAAAUCA
rnacentral:lncRNA from 1 species